rnacentral:rRNA from 1 species
GAGACAGCAGUCGCCGCGGGAAUACAGAGGGUGCAAGCGUUAAUCGGAAUUACUGGGCGUAAAGCGCGCGUAGGUGGUUUGUUAAGUUGGAUGUGAAAUCCCCGGGCUCAACCUGGGAACUGCAUCCAAAACUGGCAAGCUAGAGUAUGGUAGAGGGUGGUGGAAUUUCCUGUGUAGCGGUGAAAUGCGUAGAUAUAGGAAGGAACACCAGUGGCGAAGGCGACCACCUGGACUGAUACUGACACUGAGGUGCGAAAGCGUGGGGAGCAAACAGGAUUAGAUACCCCUGUAGUCCCUGUCUCUUAUAC